rnacentral:rRNA from 1 species
UAUAUUUAGUGGCGAACGGGUGAGUAAUGCCUAGGAAUCUGCCCAUUAGCGGGGGAUAACGUGUGGAAACGCACGCUAAUACCGCAUACGCCCUACGGGGGAAAGCAGGGGAUCUUCGGACCUUGCACUAAUGGAUGAGCCUAGGUCGGAUUAGCUAGUUGGUAGGGUAAAGGCCUACCAAGGCUACGAUCUGUAGCGGGUCUGAGAGGAUGAUCCGCCACACUGGAACUGAGACACGGUCCAGACUCCUACGGGAGGCAGCAGUGGGGAAUAUUGGACAAUGGGCGAAAGCCUGAUCCAGCCAUGCCGCGUGUGUGAAGAAGGCCUUUUGGUUGUAAAGCACUUUAAGCGAGGAGGAGGGUACUCUGGUUAAUACCUAGAUGUAUCGGACGUUACUCGCAGAAUAAGCACCGGCUAACUCUGUGCCAGCAGCCGCGGUAAUACAGAGGGUGCGAGCGUUAAUCGGAAUUACUGGGCGUAAAGCGCGCGUAGGCGGUUAUGUAAGUUGGAUGUGAAAUCCCCGGGCUUAACCUGGGC